UACAGAGGGGGCAAGCGUUGUUCGGAAUUACUGGGCGUAAAGGGCGCGUAGGCGGCCCUCUAAGUCGGACGUGAAAUCCCUCGGCUCAACCGGGGAACUGCGUCCGAUACUGGUGGGCUCGAAUCCGGGAGAGGGAUGUGGAAUUCCAGGUGUAGCGGUGAAAUGCGUAGAUAUCUGGAGGAACACCGGUGGCGAAGGCGGCAUUCUGGACUGUAACUGACACUGAGGAACGAAAGCCAGGGGAGCAAACGGG
rnacentral:rRNA from 1 species